rnacentral:rRNA from 1 species
AUUGAACGCUGGCGGCAGGCUUAACACAUGCAAGUCGAGCGGGGUGAUGGUGCUUGCACUAUCACUUAGCGGCGGACGGGUGAGUAAUGCUUAGGAAUCUGCCUAUUAGUGGGGGACAACACCUCGAAAGGGAUGCUAAUACCGCAUACGUCCUACGGGAGAAAGCAGGGGAUCACUUGUGACCUUGCGCUAAUAGAUGAGCCUCAGUCGGAUUAGCUAGUUGGUGGGGUAAAGGCCUACCAAGGCGACGAUCUGUAGCGGGUCUGAGAGGAUGGUCCGCCACACUGGGACUAAGACACGGCCCAGACUCCUACGGGAGGCAGCAGUGGGGAAUAUUGGACAAUGGGGGGAACCCUGAUCCAGCCAUGCCGCGUGUGUGAAGAAGGCCUUAUGGUUGUAAAGCACUUUAAGCGAGGAGGAGGCUCUUUUGGUUAAUACCCAAGAUGAGUGGACGUUACUCGCAGAAUAAGCACCGGCUAACUCUGUGCCAGCCGCCGCUGUAA